CCUACGGGUGGCAGCAGUGAGGAAUAUUGGUCAAUGGGCGUAAGCCUGAACCAGCCAAGUCGCGUGAAGGAUGAAGGUUCUAUGGAUUGUAAACUUCUUUUAUAAGGGAAUAAAGUGCGGGACGUGUCCCGUUUUGUAUGUACCUUAUGAAUAAGGAUCGGCUAACUCCGUGCCAGCAGCCGCGGUAAUACGGAGGAUCCGAGCGUUAUCCGGAUUUAUUGGGUUUAAAGGGUGCGUAGGCGGCUUGUUAAGUCAGCGGUGAAAGGCUGUGGCUCAACCAUAGAAUUGCCGUUGAAACUGGGAGGCUUGAGUGUGUUUGAGGCAGGCGGAAUGCGUGGUGUAGCGGUGAAAUGCUUAGAUAUCACGCAGAACCCCGAUUGCGAAGGCAGCCUACCAAGCCAUUACUGACGCUGAUGCACGAAAGCGUGGGUAUCAAACAGGAUUAGAUACCCGUGUAGUC
rnacentral:rRNA from 1 species